rnacentral:rRNA from 1 species
GGCUCGGUCCUAGGUAGGAGAGGGCCGGGAGAGAAAGGCCACUGGUGACACAGUUGUGCCGCCGGGGGCUCCGCUGGGUAGUUGGGUAGGGAGGAGAUAAACGCUGGAAGCAUCUAAGUGGGAAACUCGCCGCGAGAUGAGAUUUCCCAUUUCCUUCGGGAAAGUAAGACCCCUCAGAGAUGAUGAGGUAGAUAGGAUGGAAGUGGAAGUGCCGUGAGGCAUGGAGCGGACCAUUACUAAUCGGUCGAGGACUUAACCAAG